rnacentral:rRNA from 1 species
GACGAACGCUGGCGGCGUGCUUAACACAUGCAAGUCGAACGAGAAAGCUCCUUCGGGAGUGAGUACAGUGGCGAACGGGUGAGUAACACGUGGGCAACCUGCCCUAGGGAGCGGGACAACCCGAGGAAACUCGGGCUAAUACCGCAUAAUUCGCAGUGCCUCAAGGCUCUGCGGGAAAUGGUAGCUUCGGCCUCCGCCCUAGGAUGGGCCCGCGGCGCAUUAGCUAGUUGGUGUGGGUAACGGCCCACCAAGGCGACGAUGCGUAGCUGGUCUGAGAGGACGAUCAGCCACACUGGGACUGAGACACGGCCCAGACUCCUACGGGUGGCAG